CAUGCAAGUCGAACGGUAACAGCAGAGCUUGCUCUGGCUGACGAGUGGCGCACGGGUGCGUAACGCGUAUACAAUCUACCUUAUACAGGGGGAUAGCCUUUGGAAACGAAGAUUAAUACCCCAUAGUAUUAUUGAGUGGCAUCAUUUAAUAAUUAAAAUUUCGAUGGUAUAAGAUGAGUAUGCGUUCUAUUAGCUAGUUGGGGAGGUAACGGCUCACCAAGGCGACGAUAGAUAGGGGUCCUGAGAGGGAGAUCCCCCACACUGGUACUGAGACACGGACCAGACCCCUACGGGAGGCAGCAGUGAGGAAUAUUGGACAAUGGAGGCAACUCUGAUCCAGCCAUGCCGCGUGCAGGAAGACUGCCCUAUGGGUUGUAAACUGCUUUUAUAUGGGAAGAAUAAGGUGUAUGUAUACACUGAUGACGGUACCAUAAGAAUAAGCACCGGCUAACUCCGUGCCAGCAGCCGCGGUAAUACGGAGGGUGCAAGCGUUAUCCGGAAUCAUUGGGUUUAAAGGGUCCGUAGGCGGAAUUAUAAGUCAGUGGUGAAAGUUUUUGGCUCAACCAAAAAAUUGCCAUUGAUACUGUAGUUCUAGAAUCGUUGUGCAGUGGUUAGAAUAUGUAGUGUAGCGGUGAAAUGCUUAGAUAUUACAUAGAAUACCGAUUGCGAAGGCAGAUCACUAACAACGUAUUGACGCUGAUGGACGAAAGCGUAGGUAGCGAACAGGAUUAGAUACCCUGGUAGUCUACGCCGUAAACGAUGGAUACUAGUUGUUUGGCUUUCGAGCUGAGUGACUAAGCGAAAGUGAUAAGUAUCCCACCUGGGGAGUACGUUCGCAAGAAUGAAACUCAAAGGAAUUGACGGGGGCCCGCACAAGCGGUGGAGCAUGUGGUUUAAUUCGAUGAUACGCGAGGAACCUUACCAGGGCUUAAAUGUAUGUUGACAGGUUUAGAGAUAGACUUUUCUUCGGACAAUAUACAAGGUGCUGCAUGGUUGUCGUCAGCUCGUGCCGUGAGGUGUCAGGUUAAGUCCUAUAACGAGCGCAACCCCUGUUGUUAGUUGCCAUCGAGUAAUGUCGGGAACUCUAGCAAGACUGCCGGUGCAAACCGCGAGGAAGGUGGGGAUGACGUCAAAUCAUCACGGCCCUUACGUCCUGGGCCACACACGUGCUACAAUGGUAGGUACAAUGAGCAGCCACUGCGUGAGCAGGAGCGAAUCUAAAAAACCUAUCUCAGUUCGGAUCGUAGUCUGCAACUCGACUACGUGAAGCUGGAAUCGCUAGUAAUCGGAUAUCAGCCAUGAUCCGGUGAAUACGUUCCCGGGCCUUGUACACACCGCCCGUCAAGCCAUGGAAGCUGGGAGUACCUGAAGUCCGUCACCGUAAGGAGCGGCCUA
rnacentral:rRNA from 1 species